rnacentral:rRNA from 1 species
UACAGAGGUCUCAAGCGUUGUUCGGAUUCAUUGGGCGUAAAGGGUGCGUAGGCGGCGCGGUAAGUCGGGUGUGAAAUCUCGGAGCUUAACUCCGAAACUGCAUUCGAUACUGCCGUGCUUGAGGACUGGAGAGGAGACUGGAAUUUACGGUGUAGCGGUGAAAUGCGUAGAUAUGGGGAGGAACACCGGUGGCGAAGGCGGCCACCUGGACGGUGACUGACGCUGAGACGCGAAAGCGUGGGGAGCAAACAGG